rnacentral:rRNA from 1 species
CCUACGGGAGGCAGCCGUGAGGAAUAUUGGUCAAUGGACGGAAGUCUGAACCAGCCAUGCCGCGUGCAGGAAGACGGCUCUAUGAGUUGUAAACUGCUUUUGUACAAGGGUAAACCUGAAUACGUGUAUUCAGCUGAAAGUACUGUACGAAUAAGGAUCGGCUAACUCCGUGCCAGCAGCCGCGGUACAACGGAGGAUCCAAGCGUUAUCCGGAUUUAUUGGGUUUAAAGGGUGCGUAGGCGGAUUGAUAAGUUAGAGGGGAAAUGUCCGAGCUUAACUCGGGAACUGCCUCUAAUACGGUUGAUCUAGAGAGUAGAUGCGGUAGGCGGAAUGUAUGGUGUAGCGGUGAAAUGCUUAGAGAUCAUACAGAACACCGAUUGCGAAGGCAGCUUACCAAUCUAUAUCUGACGUUGAGGCACGAAAGCGUGGGGAGCAAACAGGAUUAGAUACCCCUGUAGUC